rnacentral:rRNA from 1 species
UGGCGAACGGGUGCGUAACACGUGAGGAACCUGCCCCGGUCUCUGGAAUAACAGUGGGAAACCACUGCUAAUACCGGAUAUCUCCUCGGAACCGCAUGGCUCUGAGAAGAAAGGGUUACCGGAUCGGGAGGGUCUCGCGGCCUAUCAGCUUGUUGGUGGGGUAAUGGCCUACCAAGGCGACGACGGGUAGCCGGCCUGAGAGGGCGACCGGCCACACUGGGACUGAGACACGGCCCAG